rnacentral:rRNA from 1 species
AUUGAACGCUGGCGGCAGGCCUAACACAUGCAAGUCGAACGGUAACAGGAAACAGCUUGCUGUUUCGCUGACGGGUGGCGGACGGGUGAGUAAUGUCUGGGCAACUGCCUGAUGGAGGGGGAUAACUACUGGAAACGGUAGCUAAUACCGCAUAACGUCGCAAGACCAAAGAGGGGGACCCUCGGGCCUCUUGCCAUCGGAUGUGCCCAGAUGGGAUUCGCUUGUUGGUGGGGUAACGGCUCACCAAGGCGACGAUCCCUAGCUGGUCUGAGAGGAUGACCAGCCACACUGGAACUGAGACACGGUCCAGACUCCUACGGGAGGCAGCAGUGGGGAAUAUUGCACAAUGGGCGCAAGCCUGAUGCAGCCAUGCCGCGUGUAUGAAGAAGGCCUUCGGGUUGUAAAGUACUUUCAGCGGGGAGGAAGGGAGUAAAGUUAAUACCUUUGCUCAUUGACGUUACCCGCAGAAGAAGCACCGGCUAACUCCGUG